GGGCUGGCAUUCUUUUUCUCUUUUCAGGCAGUUCACUUCCCGACUGAUCCGUUGAAUAUUGAACUGCAUGAUUGUACGUAUGCUGUCGAAGUGCAGAAGUGCACUUUUUUUACUGUAGUGUAGCGUUGUGGUGACACUGUAGUGUAUUCACGGUAGUGUGGGAGGAAAGGUGGCACCAAGCCUUAUCUUUGUACUGUACUCUCUGUAGCUCUGACCUGGACAGGACCUAUCUACACCCACAGGAGCGCUUUGGAAACAACAUUAGAAGUCAUGUGGUUGCAGAUAAGAGGAAGAGUAUCCAGUCCUAUUCCACCGCGGCCAGCUCCGUUCACUGAUCGGCUUUGUCUGGCCGCAGAAGAUCGCAACAACAGCACUCUACGACAGGUGCAAGGCAGAGCCGAUCAGCCGCAUCAUCACCAGAGCUCGAUGGAGGCUAUUUGGCCAUAUCCUUCGACUUCCCAGUGAUGCCCCCGCCGUCCUAAGCAUGGUCAGCUACUUUCAAUGUGAUGACCACAAGUGGAGAGGCCGCCCUCGCAUCACCCUGCCGGUGAAGCUCGACGACGACCUCCACCGAGCUGCGUGCGGGCGAUUGCAGAGCCUGGAAGAUCUGGAGCGCCUAUCAGACGUAGCUGCAGUUCGAAGCGAAUGGAGGCAGCUACUGGAUAUGAUCUGCAAGUAGGGAUGCGGCGAUGAAACCGCGCCGUCACCUUUUUCCCAGAUCACGGAAAUAUCGCUCAAUGCACUUUAAACAUUCUAUACACAAAGGAUUUAUAGCUACGUUUGUGCUUGUUGUCUUUAUGUCUCCUAUAUCAACUGCUUCUCUUACCAUGUCCAGCAUAAGCGAACGUGUGGACUGUGUUUGUGCAUGGGCGACUUGCCCUUGCACUGUUGACGCUGCCGCGGGAAUGCAUAUAAUAAUAAUAAUCCAGUCCUAUAAAUAGAGAGUGCACCUCAGA